rnacentral:rRNA from 1 species
AUUGAACGCUGGCGGCAUGCCUUACACAUGCAAGUCGAACGGCAGCACGGGAGCAAUCCUGGUGGCGAGUGGCGAACGGGUGAGUAAUAUAUCGGAACGUGCCCAGUCGUGGGGAUAACGUAGCGAAAGCUACGCUAAUACCGCAUACGAUCUAUGGAUGAAAGCGGGGGAUCGCAAGACCUCGCGCGAUUGGAGCGGCCGAUAUCAGAUUAGGUAGUUGUGAGGUAAAGGCUCACCAAGCCGACGAUCUGUAGCUGGUCUGAGAGGACGACAGCCACACUGGGACUGAGACACGGCCCAGACUCCUACGGGAGGCAGCAGUGGGGAAUUUUGGACAAUGGGCGCAAGGACCUGAUCCAGCAAUGCCGCGUGCAGGAUGAAGGCCUUC